GCCGGGCAUGGUGGCGCACACCUAUAAUCCCAGCAGCUCAGGAGGCUGAGGCAGGAGGAUCGUGAAUUCAAAGCCAGCCUCAGCAAUGGUGAGGCGCUAAGCAACUCAGUGAGACCCUGUCUCUA
rnacentral:sRNA from 1 species